rnacentral:lncRNA from 1 species
AGGAAAGGUGGGCUGAAGGAUGAAAAUAUUAUUGUUUUCAUGUAUGAUGACAUCGCUUUCAAUGAAGAGAACCCAAGGCCUGGAGUCAUCAUUAACCACCCCCAUGGCGAUGAUGUUUACAAAGGAGUUCCAAAGGUCUCUUUCCCUCAAGAGUAAUUCUAGGUUUACAUAAUCCUCUACAAACUCUACUCAUAUAACAUGUUGUGGCAAUUUUUCAAAGAAAUAAAAGCAAAUAAAUAGUGGGGAACAUAUGAUAGUGAUAUAAUAAUGUCACAUCCGUUCGUAUGGGUAGAGUUGUAUAGGAGCUUGUAUUCCUAUUCUCACUAUUGCAUCAAAGAUCAACCAUCUGAAUAUGUGAUAAAGUUCUUUAUUACUACUACUACUAUUAUUUUUUUCAUGGUUUCUUCUUUCAUGUGGCAGGAUUACACGGGGGAAGAUGUUACUGUUGAAAACUUUUUUGCUGUUGUCCUGGGAAAUAAAACAGCUCUUACAGGGGGCAGUGGGAAGGUUGUGGAUAGCGGCCCCAAUGAUCAUAUUUUCAUAUUCUACUCAGAUCAUGGUGGCCCUGGGGUGCUAGGUUAGUAGCCACGAUUCUUCAUAAGUUCCCCACUCUGUCUUAUAUUGUAUGUGUUUUUUUUGUGCUGUUUGAAUAGUGGCUGUAGUUACCCGAAUUAGAUGGUGGUGGUCCUUGGGCUUGGAUUUCUUCCAUCUUAUGGUCAAUUUCUGGUUUUAGUUCAGCGCGUGUCAUAAAACUUGAUUUUGAUUCUGAAGUGAUUUUUAGAAAAUAGACACCAUAGAAUUGGAUUAUCUUUUUUUCUUUUGGCCCAAAUCAAACCGGUUUUGGUGGUAUAUGACUGUCACUAGAAAAACCCUGUUAGAGAACGUCUCACAUGGUUUAAAGAUUCAAAAUUAUUUUCUUUAACCACUAAAGGCAUUUCUUUUAUGGUAAUAUUAUAUUUACUGAGUCGGGAUUCAUAGUUUGUAUCUCAAGUGAUGAAUCACCAAUCAUUAAUGGUCAUGUUUAAGUUUUGGUUGAUUUUAUCAUUUAUCAAUAGGGUGUCAAUCUUGCAACGUCAGAUGCCACAUCACUUGCGGUGCAAGCUAUGUAUAUAAACAAAUUCUUCUAUUAUUAUUAUUAUUAUUAUUUAUUUAUUUUCAUAUUUGUGAUUUUACUGGGAAUAAAAAUUUGAUUGUGUUGUUAUGCUGUUGCAUGUUGUUUGAAGCCUAGGCCAACAUGACUCAUGUAAAAAUUGGUUACUCAGAAGGUUAAAAGUGUAUUGGUUUUACUUGAAAUAUCCUACCUUAUUUUUUCAACAGAGUGGAUAUAUAUGUUAUAACCGACACUAUUUUUAAACUUCUGUUGUAAAAUUGACUUCUUAGUUCACCUGUUUUGUGAUCUAUUUUAGGGAUGCCCACCAGUCGAUACAUAUAUGCUGAUGAACUGAUCGAUGUCUUAAAAAAGAAGCAUGCUUCUGGGAACUACAAAAGCUUGGUAAGUAAUUGGUGAACUGCCAUUUGACAUGUGUUCUAUUUCGAUAAAAGUCUUGGCAAAUUGAAAUUUUUGUUGGUUUCAAUAUCAAAAAAUUUAGGUAUUUUAUCUCGAAGCCUGUGAAUCUGGAAGUAUCUUUGAGGGUCUUCUUCCUGAGGGCUUAAAUAUCUAUGCAACCACAGCUUCAAAUGCUGAAGAGAGCAGUUGGGGGACCUAUUGUCCUGGAGAGAUUCCUGGUCCUCCCCCUGAAUAUAGCACUUGUUUGGGUGACUUGUAUAGUAUUGCUUGGAUGGAGGACAGGUAUGACAACAUUUAUGAUUUUAUUUAUUUCACUUUGGCAACAUUUUUCUGUUUCCUUGAGUAACAACAUGUCUAUGUCUGUCUUCUGUAAUCUCUGAAAAUAGAAGAAAAGUACUGGUUUGACCGAAUUUAUUAACUUACUGAACAAAACUUUUCUAAAAAUUUAUCAUUUUGUGCAGUUUUUUUCCUAGAGAAGCAGUGUGUGCGUGUGCCUUUUUUUUUUUUUUGGGUGAAUUUUAAUAUUUUGACCUUUGCACAGUGACAUACACAACUUGCGGACAGAAACUCUUCACCAGCAGUAUGAACUGGUAAGAUCUCAUUGAGACUUUAUUACUUCAUCGAUGUUCAUUAUACACAGAUAAUGGUUAACUCAGUGCAAAUAAAAUUAGUAACAGUUGGCUUUUUAAGAAUCCUAGAUCCUGCUCUUACCUGCUUGUUUUGAUAACCGCUAAAAUCAGUUUUUUUUUAUUUUCGAAAUUUCAGGUUAAAACAAGGACUGCUAGUUACAAUUCGUAUGGCUCUCAUGUCAUGCAAUAUGGUGAUAUCGGUCUUAGCAAGAACAAUCUCUUCACGUACUUGGGUACAAAUCCUGCAAAUGAUAACUACACUUUUGUGGAUGAGAACUCCUUAAGGCCAGCAUCUAAAGCUGUUAACCAGCGAGAUGCCGAUCUCUUGCAUUUCUGGGACAAGGUAUGUAUCCAACAAUGCACAUAGCUCAUUAAAUUGAAUGCUGCCUCUCUAGCGUAUUUUAUUCAUUUACUUUUUCAAUCCCCAAUGUGGGGAUGGAUCACAAUUCUAUGUUCAACAUGGGUUUGAAAGUUUGUCAUCUCGUUGUUGAGGUUGGUGUAAACUGUAUAAGGGUCUUAUGAUUGGUUAAGUUGGAAUUAGGAAAAGAGGUUAGUGAUGUAACAAAGCAUGGUAGUAGCUUGAUAUUAAGAAUUUUGGAACCAUUUUUAGGUAUGCCAGUUCUCUAUUAUACCCAAAGCAGUAUAAGCAGAGUCCAUUGGCCAUUGGGUACAAAACCCCUAUAGAACAUGUUGUUUCUAUUUGCUUGAGAUGUGGAAGUUUUGGUUACCCUGCUAUGUUACCUGUGGAAAUAACAGUCAGAACGCCCUAAAUAGAUUUUUUUUUUUGGGGGGGGGGGGGGUGAAUUGUAAAAUAGCGACCCUUUCUGCAGUAUGUCUGAAAAUUUUCUCCUUUCUACUUAAGAAUAUACCUCACUUUGCCUAUCCGUUACUUUAAUAGUACCGCAAGGCACCUGAGGGCACUCCUAGGAAGGCUGAAGCUCAGAAGCAGUUUUUUGAAGCAAUGUCUCAUAGAAUGCAUGUAGACCACAGCAUCAAACUUAUUGGAAAGCUCUUAUUUGGAAUUGAGAAAGGUCCAGAGAUCUUGAACACUGUUCGAC